AUUGGGUCCUGACACCCAGGAGUGGCGAUCACCCCCACAGACGCGUACCCCAAACUAAAGUAGGAACCCACGGCUUAAACCCCGUCUGCAGUCUUCCAAAACCCGAGAGAGAGAGAGAGAGAGAGAGAGAGAUGGCUUGGCGAUCAGGAUCGCUUUCAAGGACCCUUCUAUCAACGGCGAGAUCUUCUUCCUUCCGCUCUGCCCCACCGCUUCCCCGUCUCCGCCCUUCUCCGCCCCUCGCCGCCCCUCGCCCUCCUCGUAGCCGCCUAACCUUCGCCCAUCCCAGGUUGCUAGGGGAGCUUGGAUGCACGCAGUCUCUCCUUCCACUUCACAGCGUGGUGGCGGCAGCCCGCCUUACAUCCCACCUGUCGAUCGAUUCGCGCGCUUGCUGCGAGCUGUCUCAGGGUACCCUCUCCCGCACUUGUCAAGAUCGCUAGUUGUCUCUUUGGAGGAAUGGAAAAGAUGGGUGAUACAAGAGAGGCUGGGCAUUAUCGGGACGCUGAAGAGAAUGGUGUCACAGCUUCAAGCAUUGUACUUGAACUGCUGUUGGGAUGAUUGCAGCAGUGAUUGCUAUAAAACAGAAUGGUAGUUUUGAUAGGGUAUUCUAUGGAAACUUUUACAGCUAAUCUUUUAGCUGCAAGAGUAGGAGAAACGAAGAAUCAGUUUUUCUCUGUUUUGCUUGUUUUGGAGAAAAUUCGGAAGUUCUCAAUUUGGGAAGAAUUUAUGAGAAUGUGUUUAAGAUUGUGGUCUUAGCUUGAAUCUUGAGAUAAACAGCUUAGCCGCUGUCAGUCGAAUGGUCAUUCAAGUUAUGCCACUGAAACUGCCAUUGUGAUUUAGGUUGA